rnacentral:lncRNA from 1 species
AAGUGGUCCAGACAAGCACAGACAGUGGUAAAAGAUAAUUAAAUAAAUGUAGGAAAAGAAACUUUUAUUAUUCAGAUCUUGUAUCAAUUCUUUUCUCGGUCUAAUUUAUCUCUUCUUGUUUGACAGCUUGGUGAUGGCUCAAGACAAAGAUCAAAGUCUUCUUCUAUAUCCUUGCCUCAUCAAGAAAUCCUCACGAGGACUCAGGCCCCUUGCGCUCAUAGGUCAGAUUAGUGGGGGGCGGAUCUUUGGUGUGGGCAUAGGUAAGCGUCAGUACCCCUAUUCAGCAGGAAGUAACAGUGGAUGAGGGACUUUCCUUCUUCAUCAUCUUUCAAAGAUUUUCAGGGCCUAGGUCUCUCAGGAGGAAAUAAAACAGAUGCUGAAGAAUUCUCUUCCUUCUACCCAGGUCCAACACACUGACAUCUGCUUUGUGUAUGUAUUCCUCUUUUUCUUCAUCAUCAUCUGUAUACUUUGUGAUUCGUUGCUUGUGGUGCAAAUGAACUUGAAGUCUAUCAGCUCCACCACUGUGCCUGCCAUUGCAGCAGCAGGCCAAAAGGGCUUUUCUGAGCAGAAACUAAAGAGAAGGGCUAAAAGAAUGGGUGAGUGUCCUGCCUGCCCCUCACUGCCCACAUCCAUUUUGGUUGCCUGCGUCAGCAUGCCUGAGAAAGCAGACACAAAGGAAUGACCUUGGUGGCAUGGGCUGAUAAGAGCUAAAGCUUUGUUUGUUGGUUUAUUUGUUUGUUUUAAAAAUGAGACUUGGAUUAGAUCCUCUCAAAGAUUUAGAUAACUUCUAUUAUUCUAAGCAAACUACCAAAAGCAUUGUUUGGAUGAAUAUAAGGGAUACUGUUUCCUAAAUAGCUAGAGAAGCCCUGAUCUAAUGUUUAUAAGUGGCUAAGGGAGUCCCACAAGUUCUGCCCUUCUCCCUAAGGAGGCAUUUAGACCAUAUCAUGGAGAGUACCCAGGUUGAGAGGGCCUCCACGGGGCUCUACUCAUCAAAUAAAAUGCCAGUACCAACCAUCAGACAUUCAAGCAGAGAUAUCUGCUUAGUAAAGUACUUUAGGUAUCACAAGGGACUGUUUAUAUACCCAAUAGGACUCAUCCUUCUGCAGAAUAUGCUCUCUGAAGGACCCAAGACCUAGUUUUCUCUCUUGAGAUGUUUCAUGGGAAAUAUCCUAAGAAGUACCCCACAUAUCCCUGAGACCCCCACCAUUAGACCAUGUCCUUCAGUAGUGGGAAAGAUUUGACCCUGUCAACCUGAAAAAAGGACGAUUUACCACCACUGCAAUGGGGUUUGGGUCCAGCAUGAACUAGAAAAUGUCAAGAGGUGAGUUUAAAAUAACAG